GAUGAACGCUAGCGGCAGGCCUAAUACAUGCAAGUCGAACGGUAAGGCCCUUUCGGGGGUACGACGAGUGGCGGACGGGUGCGUAACGCGUAUGCAACAUGCCUUCCAGCGGGGGAGUAUACCAGGGAAACGUUGGCGCAAUACCCCACUAGAAUUACGGGACCGCAUGGUCUUGUGAUUAAAACUACCGGUGCUGGGAGGAUUGGCAUGCGUGACAUUAGCUAGUUGGCGGGGUAACGGGCCCACCAAGGCGACGAUGUCUAGCUGGUCUGAGAGGAUGAUCAGCCACACUGGGACGUGAGACACGGCCCAGACUCCUACGGGAGGCAGCAGUAGGGAA
rnacentral:rRNA from 1 species